rnacentral:rRNA from 1 species
AGAACGAACGCUGGCGGCAGGCUUAACACAUGCAAGUCGAACGCCCCGCAAGGGGAGUGGCAGACGGGUGAGUAACACGUGGGAACGUGCCCUAAGGUUCGGAACAACUCCGGGAAACUGGAGCUAAUACCGAAUGUGUCCGUAAGGAGAAAGAUUUAUCGCCUUAGGAUCGGCCCGCAUCGGAUUAGCUAGUUGGUGGGGUAAUGGCCUACCAAGGCGACGAUCCGUAGCUGGUCUGAGAGGACGACCAGCCACACUGGGACUGAGACACGGCCCAGACUCCUACGGGAGGCAGCAGUGGGGAAUCUUGGACAAUGGGCGCAAGCCUGAUCCAGCCAUGCCGCGUGGAUGAUGAAGGCCUUAGGGUUGUAAAAUCCUUUCGCCGAGGACGAUAAUGACGGUACUCGGAGAAGAAGCUCCGGCUAACUUCGUGCCAGCAGCCGC